CGGUGCAUUAGUGCUGGUAUGAUC
rnacentral:siRNA from 1 species